UACGUAGGCAGCAAGCGUUGUUCGGAGUUACUGGGCGUAAAGAGUGCGUAGGCGGUUUCGUAAGUUUGGUGUGAAAUCUCCCGGCUUAACUGGGAGGGUGCGCCGAAAACUGCGGGGCUGGAGUAUGGGAGAGGUAAGCGGAAUUCCUGGUGUAGCGGUGAAAUGCGUAGAUAUCGGGAGGAACACCAGUGGCGAAGGCGGCUUCCUGGCCUGUUCUUGACGCUGAGGCGCGAAAGCUAGGGGAGCAAACGGG
rnacentral:rRNA from 1 species